rnacentral:rRNA from 1 species
GUCUUGUUGGUGAAUAUAAUAAGUCUGACCUGCCCGGUGAUUUUAAUUUAACGGCCGCAGUACUUUGACUGUGCAAAGGUAGCAUAAUCAUUAGUCUCUUAAUAGGGGGCUGGAAUGAAUGGUUUGACGAAAUACUAACUGUCUCAUUUUUAUUGAUUGAAUUUAACUUUUAAGUUAAAAGGCUUAGAUUUUUUUGGAAGACGAGAAGACCCUAUAGAGCUUUAUUUGAUUUAUUUUAUUGAUGUUUAGUUUAUAAAUUUUAUUAAUAUUAAUUUAAAAUUUGUUGGGGUGAUAGUAAAUAAAAAUUUAACUUUUAUUAUUAUUUUUACAUUUAUUUAUGAAAUAUUAGAUCUUUUAUUAUGAUUAUUAGAUUAAGUUACCUUAGGGAUAACAGCGUAAUCUUUCCUUUGAGUUCUUAUUUUCGGAAAGGGUUGCGACCUCGAUGUUGGAUUAAGAUUACAAUUAGGUGUAGUCGCUUAAUUUUGUAGGUCUGUUCGACCUUUAAUCUCUUACAUGAUCUGAGUUCAGACCGG